CGAGCGAGGCUGAAGUUCAAAGAGUCCUUCGGGGUGGAUUUGUUGGUAUGCUAGCGGCGGAUGGGUGAGUAACACGUGGCAAUCUGCCUAAGACUGGAUACCACUGAACAGUAGCUAAUACCGGAUAACAACAUGAAUCGCAUGAUUCAAGUUUGAAAGGCGGCGUAAGCUGUCACUUUAGGAUGAGCCCGCGGCGCAUUAGCUAGUUGGUGGGGUAAAGGCCUACCAAGGCAAUGAUGCGUAGCCGAGUUGAGAGACUGAUCGGCCACAUUGGGACUGAGACACGGCCCAAACUCCUACGGGAGGCAGCAGUAGGGAAUCUUCCACAAUGGACGCAAGUCUGAUGGAGCAACGCCGCGUGAGUGAAGAAGGUUUUCGGAUCGUAAAGCUCUGCUGUUGGUGAAGAAGGAUAGAGGCAGUAACUGGUCUUUAUUUGACGGUAAUCAACCAGAAAGUCACGGCUAACUACGUG
rnacentral:rRNA from 1 species